UACAGAGGGGGCAAGCGUUUGUUCGGAAUUACUGGGCGUAAAGGGCGCGUAGGCGCCUUCUAAGUCGAACGUGAAAUCCCCGGGCUCAACCCGGGAACUGCGUCCGAUACUGGAAGGCUUGAAUCCGGGAGAGGGAUGUGGAAUUCCAGGUGUAGCGGUGAAAUGCGUAGAUAUCUGGAGGAACACCGGUGGCGAAGGCGACAUCCUGGACCGGUAUUGACGCUGAGGCGCGAAAGCGUGGGGAGCAAACAGG
rnacentral:rRNA from 1 species